rnacentral:rRNA from 1 species
UGGGGAAUAUUGCACAAUGGGCGCAAGCCUGAUGCAGCCAUGCCGCGUGUGUGAAGAAGGCCUUCGGGCUGUAAAGCACUUUCAGCGGGGAGGAAGGCGUUAAGGUUAAUAACCUUGGCGAUUGACGUUACCCGCAGAAGAAGCACCGGCUAACUCCGUGCCAGCAGCCGCGGUAAUACGGAGGGUGCAAGCGUUAAUCGGAAUUACUGGGCGUAAAGCGCACGCAGGCGGUCUGUCAAGUCGGAUGUGAAAUCCCCGGGCUCAACCUGGGAACUGCAUUCGAAACUGGCAGGCUAGAGUCUUGUAGAGGGGGGUAGAAUUCCAGGUGUAGCGGUGAAAUGCGUAGAGAUCUGGAGGAAUACCGGUGGCGAAGGCGGCCCCCUGGACGAAGACUGACGCUCAGGUGCGAAAGCGUGGGGAGCAAACAGG